rnacentral:rRNA from 1 species
AACGAACGCUGGCGGCGUGGAUAAGACAUGCAAGUCGGACGCUGAUUGCCGGGUAGCAAUAUUCGGCGGUCGGAGUGGCGAAAGGGUGCGUAACACGUGGGCAAUCUGCCGUGAAGUCGGGGAUAACUUGCUGAAAGGCGAGCUAAUACCGGAUGUGGUUUUGGGAGGGCAUCUUUCUGGAACCAAAGUUGGGGACCGCAAGGCCUGACGCUUCAUGAUGAGCCCGCGGCCUAUCAGCUAGUUGGUGAGGUAAUGGCUCACCAAGGCAAAGACGGGUAGCUGGUCUGAGAGGACGACCAGCCACACUGGAACUGAGACACGGUCCAGACACCUACGGGUGGCAGCAGUCGAGAAUUUUUCACAAUAGGCGAAAGCCUGAUGGAGCGACGCCGCGUGGGGGAUGAAUGGCUUCGGCCCGUAAACCCCUGUCAUUUGCGAACAAACCUUUCCACCCAACACGUGGAGAGCUGAUUGUAGCGAAAGAGGAAGGGACGGCUAACU